rnacentral:tRNA from 1 species
UAAUAUGUAGUGAUAUCACAAUAAGUUGCAAACUUAUAAAUGCUAAUAGCCGUAUUAA